AGAGCGAACGCUGGCGGCAUGCUUAACACAUGCAAGUCGCACGGUCGGAGCAAUCCGGCAGUGGCGGACGGGUGAGUAACGCGUAGGUAUCUAUCCUUGGGUGGGGGAUAACGCCGGGAAACUGGUGCUAAUACCGCAUGACGACUGAGGUCCAAAGGCGCAAGUCGCCUGGGGAGGAGCCUGCGUCCGAUUAGCUUGUUGGUGGGGUAAUGGCCUACCAAGGCGACGAUCGGUAGCUGGUCUGAGAGGAUGAUCAGCCACACUGGGAUUGAGAACGGCCCAGACUCCUACGGGGGGCAGCAGUGAGGAAUUUUCGUCAAUGGGGGAAACCCUGAACGAGCAACGCCGCGUGCAGGAAGACACUUUUCGGAGCGUAAACUGCUUUUCUCGGGGACGAGUAAGGACGGUACCCGAGGAAUCAGCCCCGGCUAACUACGUGCCAGCAGCCGC
rnacentral:rRNA from 1 species